UCAACGCGGGACAACUUACCGGGCCCGACGACCGUAAGAGUGUGACACACGAUAGGUCGAAGAGUGGUGCAUGGCCGUUAACGACGAGUGGAGUGAUCUUUGGGUUAAGUCCGUAAAUUAGUGAGACCUCAGCCGUAAGGGACAGGUGCGCAAAGCACAGGAAGGAUGGGUCAAGGACAGGUCAGUGAUGCCCUUAGAUGGUCCGGGCUGCACGCGCACUACAGUGGUCGCCGAAAUUAGCUGAUAAUUUUAAAGGCGAUCGAGAGGGAAUGAGCUUUGUAAGAGGCUCAGGAACGAGGAAUUGCUAGUAAUCGCGGACUCAUUAAGACGCGAUGAAUACGUCCCUGUUCUUUGUACACACCGCCCGUCGUUAUCGAAGAUGAAGACAGGCGCGAACGAUCUACCAGAAAGUGAGCGCAGGUCUUUAGAUCUGAUACAAGUCGUAACAAGGUAGCUGUAGGUGAACCUGUAGCUGG
rnacentral:rRNA from 1 species